rfam:Scleropages formosus scaffold4879, whole genome shotgun sequence.
CUACUGGUCUUUCUCAAGACCACCGAUAACUGUCAGAUUUAUUCUA